UACGUAGGCGGCAAGCGUUGUCCGGAUUUACUGGGCGUAAAGAGCGCGCAGGCGGUCGAAUAAGUCGAAUGUGAAAGCCCCCGGCUUAACUGGGGAGGGGCAUUCGAUACUGCUCGACUUGAAGGCAGGAGAGGGUAGUGGAAUUCCCGGUGUAGUGGUGAAAUGCGUAGAUAUCGGGAGGAACACCAGUGGCGAAGGCGACUACCUGGCCUGUUCUUGACGCUGAGGCGCGAAAGCUAGGGGAGCGAACGGG
rnacentral:rRNA from 1 species